AGGACGAACGCUGGCGGCGCGCCUAAUACAUGCAAGUCGAACGGGUACCUCUUCGGAGGUGCUAGUGGCGGACGGGUGAGUAACACGUGGGCGACCUGCCUUUGAGUGGGGAAUAACGCUGGGAAACCAGCGCUAAUACCGCAUGCGCUCGCCGUUUCAUUACGGCGAGGAAAGCUUGAUGCGCUCAAAGAGGGGCCUGCGGCGGAUUAGCUAGUCGGUGGGGUAACGGCCUACCGAGGCAUCGAUCCGUAGCUGGUCUGAGAGGAUGAUCAGCCACACUGGGACUGAGACACGGCCCAGACUCCUACGGGAGGCAGCAGUAAGGAAUCUUCCACAAU
rnacentral:rRNA from 1 species